GAUGAACGCUGGCGGCGUGCCUAAUACAUGCAAGUCGAGCGAACGGACGAGAAGCUUGCUUCUCUGAUGUUAGCGGCGGACGGGUGAGUAACACGUGGAUAACCUACCUAUAAGACUGGGAUAACUUCGGGAAACCGGAGCUAAUACCGGAUGAUAUUUUGAACCGCAUGGUUCAAAAGUGAAAGACGGUCUUGCUGUCACUUAUAGAUGGAUCCGCGCUGCAUUAGCUAGUUGGUAAGGUAACGGCUUACCAAGGCAACGAUGCAUAGCCGACCUGAGAGGGUGAUCAGCCACACUGGAACUGAGACACGGUCCAGACUCCUACGGGAGGCAGCAGUAGGGAAUAUUCCGCAAUGGGCGAAAGCCUGACGGAGCCACGCCGCGUGAGUGAUGAAGGUCUUCGGAUCGUAAAACUCUGUUAUUAGGGAAGAACAUAUGUGUAAGUAACUGUGCACAUCUUGACGGUACCUAAUCAGAAAGCCACGGCUAACUACGUG
rnacentral:rRNA from 1 species